UAGGGAAUAUUGGUAAUGUGCGAAAGCGCGAACCAGCAACGCCGCGUGCACGAUGAAGGCCUUCGGGUCGUAAAGUGCUUUUAGAGAGGAUGAGGAAGGACAGUACCCUCAGAAUAAGCCUCGGCUAACUACGUGCCAGCAGCCGCGGUAAAACGUAGGAGGCGAGCGUUAUCCGGAUUUACUGGGCGUAAAGCGCGUGCAGGCGGAUUGGAGAGUUGGAUGUGAAAGCUCCCGGCUUAACUGGGAGAGGUCGUUCAAUACUUCCAGUCUUGAGUGCAGUAGAGGGAAGUGGAAUUCCGGGUGUAGUGGUGAAAUGCGUAGAUAUCCGGAGGAACACCCGUGGCGAAAGCGGCUUCCUGGACUGUAACUGACGCUCAGACGCGAAAGCUAGGGUAGCAAACG
rnacentral:rRNA from 1 species